GCCGGAGUUUCAAACACCUAAGUUUCAAGCUCAGUUUGUUCAUUUCACCGAACACAAAAGGAAUCUGAUUUUUCUUUUAAAACUGCAUUUUUUUUCCCUCCUCUACCGCAAUGCCAAACGCGUCCUAACUCCCACUGUUCCCCGCCUCUUCCACCAUGAAAUUCCGACCAACCUCUGCACCCAUUUCGCUCUCUCUUUUUCUCUUCCCGAUAAAUUACCGCUGUCGUUCGAUAUCAACAGCUAACCAGUUGGCGUGCUUAUGGAUUCUAGAAACAUCCGACGGUGAAUGAACUGAAAUUUGCAGACAAACUGCCCUGUUGACUUCUGACUUCACUAAUGGCAUCCACUGGUUCAACGCCUACUGAUCCUUCUUCUUCUGCACCCGAGGACACGGCAGCCAAAGCCGUCAACAAGCGAUACGAAGGCUUGG
rnacentral:misc_RNA from 1 species